rnacentral:misc_RNA from 1 species
GCUACGGCGGCCUGCUGCUGGGCCGCGGCUCGCUGCACGCGCAGUACAAGCCCGUGGACUGGCCGCACGCCGCGCACCACGCGCACCACGCGCACCACGCCUCGCCGCACCUCGACCCCGCCGCCUGCUCGCCCUACUCCUACCCGGCGCCGCCCGGUCUGGAGGCGCAGGUGCAGGACACGUCGAAGGACCUGUACUGGUUCUGAGGGCGCGGAGCCGUCUCUCCAGUGUGAACUGUGAUACCCGGACUCUUGUGGCUGUGAGGACGACGCCGCGCUUCGGACCGGAUUGCACGCUAAUCCUCGUUUUUGUUGACGCCACGUCAAGAGCUGGCUUGACAGUUGAGUCACGUGUUGUUAUUACAAAAUACAAACGUUAACAUUCCGUUCGCGUACGAGAUAAUUAAACUUUCGAGUAUAAUAACUCCUGUGAAUGAGUCGUUUGCCGCUAGCGAUUUGGGACUCUCGGGGCGGGGGAGGGGGAGAAGGAGGGAGGUUAACAAAGGAAACGAGUGAUAACUUAUUUGAAAGCCGCGGAACCGACACUCGUUCGGCCGCCGCUGAUUGUUGAGGAUAAUGAUCUGUCGUUAUCGCAACUUGUCUAAGCUUGUCUCGAUUGUGUUGUACAAGUGACAAUGUUUAAAUAAAAUUAAAACCCAUCAAACUCAUUCAAUAAUUUUUUCGUGUAAAAUACAAAGUAAAGAAAAAUCUUAAGCAUAGGUAGGUAUAUUAAAGGCAAAGUUUUCGUUAACGGUUUAAUCGUCACAUUCUAUUAUUAUCUUAUCGCUGUAUAAUAAAAAUAUAACAAAUGAAAAUGUAUAAAAAAAUCUUUUCAAUAACUUCGUUAGAGAAUUUAAUAAACAAAAUGUCAGUUACAUUUGCAAUAAGAACAUCACCUCGUUUCGUGUUCUCACUGUUCAUCAAACGGUCUCCGGCGACAGCUGACACACUCCAGUAACAAUAUUCUGAGAACCAUUC